rnacentral:lncRNA from 1 species
AGCCAAACGCGAAACAAAUCAACCGAGAGAAAACAACCAUCAACUACUGCUAAAAAUCCUAAUGAACAUUCCGUAACAUGCGUAGCUGCCUAUUAUCAACAGAAGCUUUAAUUCCUAUCCGUGAUCUAAGCCUUGCUCAAAUAUUAGUUUCUGUUUGGGGAUAACAUUGUCCACCGGAAGAUCUUUGUUCUAAAAAACUAUAAGAUUCCUUUCACCGCAUUAGCGAUAUAUAACAGUCAUAAAAGGAAAGCUUAUACAUAAAAACCUUAUAGGACUUUCCCUAACGAUUCUAAACUGCCCAAGUCUUUCCAGCUUACGGGCUUACAGGCCAUCUGUCAAUUUAAUCCCAGAAUUACUUAGUAUAUGUUGGACGGGGGCACUACUUGUACCUGGGGAUUAGCCGGUGUGAAGUCUCGAACACCCUCGCCAGCAACAAAAAAAAAGUUGUCUACAAAUAUAGAAAAGCAAAGGGCAUUCAAAGAACAAAUGAUCAUGAGAUUCAUUCCCUACUUGUCAGAGUACACAUACUCUGGCAAUGCCCUACACACACAUUAUGUCUCUGAUGGAUUGCUUGCCCUGAAGAGCCAAACACUUAAUAAAA